UUCAAAGAAAAUAGAAAGAUCAAAUAAUUACAUCCAAAGUAUGGCAAAGUCACUAGUGAACUACACAACCUUCCUUGCUCUCCUCUUAUGCUUCCUCCUCAUAUCAUCCAAUGAGAUGGAAGGUGUUGAGGGGAAAACUUGCCGAUGGCAAAGCCAUUUAUAUCGUUCGAGGUUUUGCUUGUCUAGCAAGUAUUGUGUAAAACGUUGCAGAGAUGAGAUUUCAAAGGUAACCAAAGGUCAGUGCAUUACAAAAGGCUUGGGUCGUUAUUGCUUCUGCUGGCGCACAGGGGCCUGCCCUCCUAAGCCUUAAUUCAAUCAAUAACAAAAUUAAUGUAUGCAUGGUGUGUGUGUGUGUGUUAUCAAGAAUAAAAACACUAUCAAUUCAUCAUUAGAAUUGUAGUGAUUGUGAGGAAAUUGUACUUUAUUAUGAUGUUUGUAUUGUAAUUUACAAUGUAUUUUCUUCUUGGUUAUGUACCCUAGUUUUUUUAAUGUCAAGUGAAACAAUUUAAAUAAA